GCCUUCGUGGUGUAAUGGUCAGCACACUGAGCCAGUAAUUCAGAGGUCCGCGGUUCGAUCCCCGGCGAAGGCA
rnacentral:tRNA from 1 species